rnacentral:rRNA from 1 species
CCUACGGGAGACAGCAGUGGGGAAUAUUGGGCAAUGGGCGCAAGCCUGACCCAGCAAUGCCGCGUGAAGGAAGAAGGCUUUCGGGUUGUAAACUUCUGUGACAGGGGAAGAGCAGAAGACGGUACCCUGAAAACAAGCCACGGCUAACUACGGGCCAGCAGCCGCGGUAAUACGUAGGUGGCAAGCGUUGUCCGGAUUUACUGGGGGGAAAGGGCGUGUAGCCGGGAAGGCAAGUCAGAGGUGAAAUCCGGAGGCUCCACCUCCGAAUUGCAUUUGAAACUGUUUUUCUUGAGUACUGGAGAGCCAGCCGCAAUUCCUUGUGUAGCGGUGAAAUGCGUAGAUAUAAGGAGGAACCCCAGUGGCGACGGCGGUCUGCUGGACAGCACCUGACGGUGAGGCGCGAACGCGUGGGGAGCAAACAGGAUUAGAUACCCUGGUAGUC